rnacentral:rRNA from 1 species
CAAUAGCGUAUAUUAAAGUUGUUGCGGUUAAAAAGCUCGUAGUUGGAUUUCUGCUGAGGACGACCGGUCCGCCCUCUGGGUGAGUAUCUGGCUCGGCCUUGGCAUCUUCUUGGGGAACGUAACUGCACUUGACUGUGUGGUGCGGUAUCCAGGACUUUUACUUUGAGGAAAUUAAGAGUGUUUCAAGCAGGCGCACGCCUUGAAUACAUUAGCAUGGAAUAAUAAGAUAGGACCUUGGUUCUAUUUUGUUGGUUUCUAGAGCUGAGGUAAUGAUUAAUAGGGACAGUUGGGGGCGAUUUUAUUCUAUUGUCAGAGGUGAAAUUCUUGGAUUAACGGUAAGAAAACGUAACUGCGAAAGACAUCUUGCCAAGGAUGUUUUCUAUUGAUCAAGAACGAAAGUUAGGGAGUCG